AUACUUACCUGGCAGGGAGGUACCAUGAUCUCGAAGGUGGUUUUCCUAGGGUGACGCUUAUCCAUUGCAUUUCGGAUGUGCUGACUCCAGCGAUUUCACCAAAUGUGAGAAAAUGGACUGCAUACUUUGUGAUAGUUGGGGACUGCAUUCGUGCUUUCUGAU